AGUGAACGCUGGCGGUAGGCCUAACACAUGCAAGUCGAACGGCAGCACAGUAAGAGCUUGCUCUUACGGGUGGCGAGUGGCGGACGGGUGAGGAAUACAUCGGAAUCUACUUUUUCGUGGGGGAUAACGUAGGGAAACUUACGCUAAUACCGCAUACGACCUACGGUUGAAAGCAGUGGAUCUUCGGACCUUGCGCGAUUGAAUGAGCCGAUGUCGGAUUAGCUAGUUGGCGGGGUAAAGGCCCACCAAGGCGACGAUCCGUAGCUGGUCUGAGAGGAUGAUCAGCCACACUGGAACUGAGACACGGUCCAGACUCCUACGGGAGGCAGCAGUGGGGAAUAUUGGACAAAGGGCGCAAGCCUGAUCCAGCCAUACCGCGUGGGUGAAGAAGGCCUUCGGGUUGUAAAGCCCUUUUGUUGGGAAAGAAAAGCAGCAGGUUAAUACCCCGCUGUUCUGACGGUACCCAAAGAAUAAGCACCGGCUAACUUCGUG
rnacentral:rRNA from 1 species